UAGGGAAUCUUCCGCAAUGGGCGAAAGCUUGACGGAGCAACGCCGCGUGAGUGAUGAAGGUCUUCGGAUCGUAAAACUCUGUUAUUAGGGAAGAACAAAUGUGUAAGUAACUAUGCACGUCUUGACGGUACCUAAUCAGAAAGCCACGGCUAACUACGUGCCAGCAGCCGCGGUAAUACGUAGGGGGCAAGCGUUAUCCGGAAUUAUUGGGCGUAAAGCGCGCGUAGGCGGUUUUUUAAGUCUGAUGUGAAAGCCCACGGCUCAACCGUGGAGGGUCAUUGGAAACUGGAAAACUUGAGUGCAGAAGAGGAGAGUGGAAUUCCAUGUGUAGCGGUGAAAUGCGCAGAGAUAUGGAGGAACACCAGUGGCGAAGGCGACUUUCUGGUCUGUAACUGACGCUGAUGUGCGAAAGCGUGGGGAUCAAACAGG
rnacentral:rRNA from 1 species